rnacentral:rRNA from 1 species
AUAUGCCUACGGGGGGCAGCAGUGAGGAAUAUUGGUCAAUGGGCUUACGCCUGAACCAGCCAAGUCGCGUGAGGGAAUAAGGCCCUACGGGUCGUAAACCUCUUUUGCCGGGGAGCAAGGGCGGGGACGUGUCCCGGCCCGGAGAGUACCCGGAGAAAAAGCAUCGGCUAACUCCGUGCCAGCAGCCACGGUAAUACGGAGGAUGCGAGCGUUAUCCGGAUUUAUUGGGUUUAAAGGGUGCGUAGGCGGGCUUUUAAGUCAGCGGUAAAAAUUCGGGGCUCAACCCCGUCCGGCCGUUGAAAAUG